AUGCAAUAACAUAAAAAUUUAUAUUAUAGGAAAUAGAAACAGCCAGUGAAGUUGGUUACCAGUGUCAAGGAGGCCGAUGACAACAUCUGAUUCAGGUGCUGCUCCGAGCUUGUCAGUGCUUCAAGAUUGGUUAACUCACCUGAAAUUCUGGCGGCUUCCUCAGCAGUGAGCUUUGCUGCAAAUCCAUUGAAACUUCUUCCAUAGCUGUGGACUAGUGAGUCUUUAGCUGCCGAAGCACUGAACCAUGUUUCAAGCAAGGAUCAGUUCUCAUCUAUAUAAGUAGUAAGGUAGAUGAAGCUAUAAUCUUGAUUCAAUAAAAUUAGUAUUCAUGUUUAUGUUCGGAAGAAAACCUUCCAAGUACUCUAUGCAACAUCCCAUGAUGCUUGGAAGCAACUGAUAGUCCUUCUUGAGGUUUAUCUCCCAUGUAGACAACAUGAAGCUGCAAAGAGAACAGCUACUUACAUUAGAGAGAGAGAGAGAGAGAGAGAGAGAGAGAUUUGUAAAAUUUGGAGUUACUUACCUUUCUUUCUAGGCAGUGGCAGUUGAGCACAAGGGCUGCAAGUAACAAAGGAUAGAGAAGGGAAAACAGCCCGGUUUUCGCCAUCUGGAAUGGACUCUGUUGGUUUGUUGUGGUGGUUUUUAUCUUCUGAAGAGCUGUGGUUUAUAUAGGAAAGGUUUUGGUGGUUGUUUCAGAUCUUAACUGGCAAUCCGAUGCAGCAUGCAGGCUUCCUCUAUCUUGGUUUUGACACAUUGCAGCCUGUAUUUUCAUCGUAUUCAUAGAAUUUCUUGUUCAACAGGUAUAUUAUUAUAGAUUCAAUACUUUCGAAUGGUUUCUGUAUAAUAAUGUGUUUACAACAAUGUGAAAACAGUGUUUGCAUGUUUUGUUUUACGUGUUUGAUUUUAGCU